rfam:Xenopus laevis strain J chromosome 3L, whole genome shotgun sequence.
GCUCUAGUGGCGCAAUCGGUUAGCGCGCGGUACUUAUAAGACAGUAACUGAUAAGCUAUGCCGAGGUUGUGAGUUCGAGCCUCACCUGGAGCA